CUUUUCAAGUGUUUAAAAUAAGUCCUUUGCUUAUGGUUUCUUUUCUUUUGUUUAAACUUUAAGUAGACACAUGAACAUUAUAGGGGUACCUUUGUAACUGGGUCGAACCCCUUUCCAUGGAAAACUUUAUUUUUUAAAUAAAAAUUUUGUUUUUAUGGUUUGAAUUGCGUCUCGGGGGCUUCCGCAUUCUGAAAGAACAUAUCCAAUCAAUGUUUCGGCUUAAAUAUGAAUUAAAAUCGUGGAAGACCAUGUAACGGACUGAGGAGAAGCGAGCCAAAUUUAAGUAGCUCUAAAUCGUAUUGGCUACUAGCUAGGCGUUAGCGCUCUUGCCUAAAAUUGCAUCAUGUUUGAUCAUUUAUAAAUCGGUGUAAACGAAUCAAGGGAAAGGUAAUACCGAGAACGGGGCGAGAUCUGUCCAACCUUCGAAAACUCUUGUGGAAAUCAAAGUCCGAUUCUGCCAGGAUGAUUUUCGGAGUUGCAGUCAGGCAAUUUCAAUAGGAGCUUGACGAAAUUACAUCACCAAUAGCCCUAUUCGUUUUCGACACUGGAAAGACCGCCAAACGCCCGAAAAUAACCAUUUACGAUGAAUGACAAUGCUUUCUUCACCAAGAAAAACCGUAAAUAUUUUUAUCACUUUCAGUCCGUAUUAAUUACGUUACUGGAAAGUGUGGCAUGACGUGCGACACGAGGUGGAGGGCCAAUGGAAUCCAUUUGUCUUGUGUAGCCGGCACUUUGAUUCUGUAGAAAACAUUUCUAUUUUUAAAAUGGAAUCCUAGUAGUGACUUUUCUCUUACUGUUAUAUCGAUCAGAUUACUAGACUUCAUGCACCUUGGACGUCAGAGUCUAACCAAGAGGUUUUGCUUCCGGAGCAGAAGAGAAAGUCAUUCGAGUUUUCGAAGCACAUCACAAUUUUCUACAGAAAUUUGCCCGGAUCUGUCGUAUUCAUCAGCCAAUCCCAGAAAGUAAUAUUUUCUAUCGACUUUCCCACAUACCUAUUCUAAUUUUUAUUGAAGCAUGCUGGGUGUUCCUCAGGGUGAUCCUGUUCAAGUCUUGUGUCUUUCCAAUAAACCCGUUUACCAUA